rnacentral:tRNA from 1 species
GAUGGCGGUCAGGCCGAAGGCGGCCGCCCGUUUGUCGGGCGGGAAGGUGUCAAGGAUGAUGGAUUGCUGGUUGGGCUGCAGGCCGCCGCCA